AUUGAACGCUGGCGGCAGGCCUAACACAUGCAAGUCGAACGAGUGGCGGACGGGUGAGUAAUGUCUGGGAAACUGCCCGAUGGAGGGGGAUAACUACUGGAAACGGUAGCUAAUACCGCAUACCAUCGGAUGUGCCCAGAUGGGAUUAGCUAGUAGGUGGGGUAAUGGCUCACCUAGGCGACGAUCCCUAGCUGGUCUGAGAGGAUGACAGGCACCACUGAAAAUAAGACACGGUCAGGAUUCCUACGGGGGGCGGCAGGGGGGAAUAUGGAAAAAGGGGGGAAAGCCUGAUGCAGCAAUCCCGCGUGUAUGAAGAAGGCCUUGGGGUUGUAAAGUACUUUAGGCGGGGAGACGGUACCCGCAGAAGAAGCACCGGCUAACUCCGUGCCAGCAGCCGCGGUAAUAC
rnacentral:rRNA from 1 species